UUAGGACGAAUGAGCGUGUGUGAGCAGAAGCUCCGGACUCGUCUGUCGCUGAACACGAGAGCAGGGAGGAGAUGGAAAAUAUAGGAAGCGGAGAGAAGGAACGGAGAGGGUGAAAGGGAGACAAUAGGUGGUUGGAAGUGAGGAAAUGUGGCGUGAUUAUAGAUGGGAAAAAAGAAAUGGAAAAUGACAAGGAAAUGCUUUAAGGGAAGCCGCCCUUGGAUAUCUGAUGAAAGAAGAUCCAGAAAAGCCCAUCUGAGCAGUAUAAUAAUAAACAGAUCUAUUUAUUUUCACAUCCCCGGUUGAGGGAGUUGUAACGAUGGCUGAAUACAGAGAGUUGGAGCUAAUUUGGAACAGAGCACACCACAACAGACAUGCUGUCUGAGAGAACGGGAGGAAGAGGUUGGAAAAGAAGGCAGAAACACAUGAGAUGUGGAGGGGGACAAAGGCAAAGAGGAAGAAGAGGAACUCCACCAGCACUGAUUGCACAUACACAUUUAUUGAAAGUUUUCAGGGUUCUGACUGAGCAUGUGCGCAAUAAGCCCAACAUUUGAUACAGCAACAUAAUCCCUGAAUCAGUAUCAGGUCUGUUGGACCCGUGGGGCUCCCAUAUCCUCUGGCAUAAUUAGCGGUUGGGGGGGUUUAGCGGUUAGCUUCCUCGAUGGCUGCAAGUGGAUUUCAAAGUAUGGUCCAAGGACCCCCCCCAUCUAAAGGUCAACGUGGGGAUGUGGGUUAGCAAAACAAAAGCUUUUGUGCUGCAUUUAGGGGCCCAGUGACAGAACGUCAGACAUGUUCUAGCUUCAAUUUGAUCAUCUGUUAACCAGCAGAUAAGAGAAUGUAAACAUCAUCUGAUCCACAGGUGGAUAAAACCUUUAAAGCAUUGAUCAUUUUCUCCAACACGUCCAUGUAGCUGAUUAUCAGCUGCAGAGCUCCUUCUAUGAGAGGCUGCUUCCCCUUAGGUGCACAAAGGAGCUUUAUUGCAGACGCUUCCUCCCAGCAGAUGUUGGACA